AAUUCGAUUCCCUUAGUAGCGGCGAGCGAAACGGGAAGAGCCCAAACCAACAAGCUUGCUUGUUGGGGUUGUAGGACACUCUAUACGGAGUUACAAAGGACGACAUUAGACGAAUCAUCUGGAAAGAUGAAUCAAAGAAGGUAAUAAUCCUGUAGUCGAAAAUGUUGUCUCUCUUGAGUGGAUCCUGAGUACGACGGAGCACGUGAAAUUCCGUCGGAAUCUGGGAGGACCAUCUCCUAAGGCUAAAUACUCUCUAGUGACCGAUAGUGAACCAGUACCGUGAGGGAAAGGUGAAAAGCACCCCGGAAGGGGAGUGAAAUAGAACCUGAAACCGUGUGCUUACAAGUAGUCAGAGCCCGUUAAUGGGUGAUGGCGUGCCUUUUGUAGAAUGAACCGGCGAGUUACGAUUUGAUGCAAGGUUAAGCAGUAAAUGUGGAGCCGUAGCGAAAGCGAGUCUGAAUAGGGCGUUUAGUAUUUGGUCGUAGACCCGAAACCAGGUGAUCUACCCUUGGUCAGGUUGAAGUUCAGGUAACACUGAAUGGAGGACCGAACCGACUUACGUUGAAAAGUGAGCGGAUGAACUGAGGGUAGCGGAGAAAUUCCAAUCGAACCUGGAGAUAGCUGGUUCUCUCCGAAAUAGCUUUAGGGCUAGCCUCAAGUGAUGAUUAUUGGAGGUAGAGCACUGUUUGGACGAGGGGCCCCUCUCGGGUUACCGAAUUCAGACAAACUCCGAAUGCCAAUUAAUUUAACUUGGGAGUCAGAACAUGGGUGAUAAGGUCCGUGUUCGAAAGGGAAACAGCCCAGACCACCAGCUAAGGUCCCAAAAUAUAUGUUAAGUGGAAAAGGAUGUGGCGUUGCCCAGACAACUAGGAUGUUGGCUUAGAAGCAGCCAUCAUUUAAAGAGUGCGUAAUAGCUCACUAGUCGAGUGACACUGCGCCGAAAAUGUACCGGGGCUAAACAUAUUACCGAAGCUGUGGAUUGUCCUUUGGACAAUGGUAGGAGAGCGUUCUAAGGGCGUUGAAGCAUGAUCGUAAGGACAUGUGGAGCGCUUAGAAGUGAGAAUGCCGGUGUGAGUAGCGAAAGACGGGUGAGAAUCCCGUCCACCGAUUGACUAAGGUUUCCAGAGGAAGGCUCGUCCGCUCUGGGUUAGUCGGGUCCUAAGCUGAGGCCGACAGGCGUAGGCGAUGGAUAACAGGUUGAUAUUCCUGUACCACCUAUAAUCGUUUUAAUCGAUGGGGGGACGCAGUAGGAUAGGCGAAGCGUGCGAUUGGAUUGCACGUCUAAGCAGUAAGGCUGAGUAUUAGGCAAAUCCGGUACUCGUUAAGGCUGAGCUGUGAUGGGGAGAAGACAUUGUGUCUUCGAGUCGUUGAUUUCACACUGCCGAGAAAAGCCUCUAGAUAGAAAAUAGGUGCCCGUACCGCAAACCGACACAGGUAGUCAAGAUGAGAAUUCUAAGGUGAGCGAGCGAACUCUCGUUAAGGAACUCGGCAAAAUGACCCCGUAACUUCGGGAGAAGGGGUGCUCUUUAGGGUUAACGCCCAGAAGAGCCGCAGUGAAUAGGCCCAAGCGACUGUUUAUCAAAAACACAGGUCUCUGCUAAACCGUAAGGUGAUGUAUAGGGGCUGACGCCUGCCCGGUGCUGGAAGGUUAAGAGGAGUGGUUAGCUUCUGCGAAGCUACGAAUCGAAGCCCCAGUAAACGGCGGCCGUAACUAUAACGGUCCUAAGGUAGCGAAAUUCCUUGUCGGGUAAGUUCCGACCCGCACGAAAGGCGUAACGAUUUGGGCACUGUCUCAACGAGAGACUCGGUGAAAUCAUAGUACCUGUGAAGAUGCAGGUUACCCGCGACAGGACGGAAAGACCCCGUGGAGCUUUACUGUAGCCUGAUAUUGAAAUUCGGCACAGCUUGUACAGGAUAGGUAGGAGCCUUUGAAACGUGAGCGCUAGCUUACGUGGAGGCGCUGGUGGGAUACUACCCUAGCUGUGUUGGCUUUCUAACCCGCACCACUUAUCGUGGUGGGAGACAGUGUCAGGCGGGCAGUUUGACUGGGGCGGUCGCCUCCUAAAAGGUAACGGAGGCGCUCAAAGGUUCCCUCAGAAUGGUUGGAAAUCAUUCAUAGAGUGUAAAGGCAUAAGGGAGCUUGACUGCGAGACCUACAAGUCGAGCAGGGUCGAAAGACGGACUUAGUGAUCCGGUGGUUCCGCAUGGAAGGGCCAUCGCUCAACGGAUAAAAGCUACCCCGGGGAUAACAGGCUUAUCUCCCCCAAGAGUUCACAUCGACGGGGAGGUUUGGCACCUCGAUGUCGGCUCAUCGCAUCCUGGGGCUGUAGUCGGUCCCAAGGGUUGGGCUGUUCGCCCAUUAAAGCGGUACGCGAGCUGGGUUCAGAACGUCGUGAGACAGUUCGGUCCCUAUCCGUCGUGGGCGUAGGAAAUUUGAGAGGAGCUGUCCUUAGUACGAGAGGACCGGGAUGGACAUACCUCUGGUGUACCAGUUGUCGUGCCAACGGCAUAGCUGGGUAGCUAUGUGUGGACGGGAUAAGUGCUGAAAGCAUCUAAGCAUGAAGCCCCCCUCAAGAUGAGAUUUCCCAACUUCGGUUAUAAGAUCCCUCAAAGAUGAUGAGGUUAAUAGGUUCGAGGUGGAAGCAUGGUGACAUGUGGAGCUGACGAAUACUAAUCGAUCGAAGACUUAAUCAA
rnacentral:rRNA from 1 species